rnacentral:rRNA from 1 species
GACGAACGCUGGCGGCGUGCUUAACACAUGCAAGUCGAACGGAAAGGCCCUGCUUUUGUGGGGUGCCCGAGUGGCGAACGGGUGAGUAACACGUGAGUAACCUGCCCUUGACUUUGGGAUAACUUCAGGAAACUGGGGCUAAUACCGGACAGGAGCUCCUGCUGCAUGGUGGGGGUUGGAAAGUUUCGGCGGUUGGGGAUGGACUCGCGGCUUAUCAGCUUGUUGGUGGGGUGGUGGCUUACCAAGGCUUUGACGGGUAGCCGGCCUGGGAGGGUGACCGGCCACCUUGGGACUGCGAUACGGCCCAGACUCCUACGGGAGGCAGCAGUGGGGAAUAUUGCACAAUGGGCGGAAGCCUGAUGCAGCAACGCCGCGUGCGGGAUGACGGCCUGCGGGUUGUAAACCGCUUUCGCCUGUGACGAAGCGUGAGUGACGGUAAUGGAUGAAGAAGCACCGGCUAACUACGUG